GAUGAAGAACGCAGCGAAAUGCGAUAAGUAAUGUGAAUUGCAGAAUUCAGUGAAUCAUCGAAUCUUUGAACGCACAUUGCGCCCGCCAGUAUUCUGGCGGGCAUGCCUGUUCGAGCGUCAUUUCAACCCUCAGGCCCCGCCUGGCGUUGGGGAUCGGCGCGACCCUCUCCGGGCUGCCGGCCCCGAAAACUAGUGGCGGUCUCGCUGUAGUCCUCCUCUGCGCAGUAGCAACGCUCGCACUGGAACUCGGCGCGGCCACGCCGUAAAACACCCCACUUCUGAAAGUUGACCUCGGAUCAGGUAGGAAUACCCGCUGAACUUAAGCAUAUCAAUAAGCGGAGGA
rnacentral:misc_RNA from 1 species